UGGAAAAAUAAUAUAUAAAAUUUUGAGAUGAUUAUUAUUAUUAUUUUUUACAGUGAUGCAAACUAUUGAGAUGAUUCAACCCAUUUCAUGUGAUCCAAACCUUUGACAUGCUUGGGCCCUUUAAGUGGAUCAAAUCCUUUUACAUACUUAGUUCAUUGGUCAUCUACAGUUGGCUUGUUUUCAAUGAUCGAAACCUUUCAUAUUACUCGAUUUGCACACUUUUAAUAAAAUUUCAGUUGUCUCUCUCUCUCUCUCUCUCUCAAAAAAAAAAAAAAAAAAAAAAAGAAGAAGAAAAAAGAAAAGAAAGAAAGAAUGCAAAUUGAAAUGAGCCAUAACCAAAUUCUUUCGUUUGUUUUAAGUUUUAAUUAGGAAAAAAAAUACAAAUGAAAACAAGAAAGAAGAACAUAAAAAUAAAAUGAAAAAGAAGAAGAAGAAGAAGAAAAGUAAAAUAAAAAUAAAAACGAAGAAGUAAACAAAAGAUGGUUCUUGAGCAAGAAUUCCAAAGCAGGUGACUAAAUAAAUAAUGCCCCAAACGUUUUCUUAGAAUGACCUUCUAUAAAUCAAUGAAACUCCCAAUGGUGCUUGUGUUCGAGGCAAACUAAUCUUCAAGCUAAGGGUCUUUUUUGUUUUAUGAUACUUUUGAUCUUAGUAAGGUUUGACAAUUUACACAUGUAGGUAAUUACACCCUAAGCACACAGUACCCAACUACACCAAAUGUCGAAUACCAUUCACCUCCAAUAUAGAGAGGAUAGUCAAAUCCAUACGCAAGGAUGAACCUACCUAGUCUUUUCUUCUCAUUUUGCUCAGAUUUAAGGAUUUGAAAGAUGUGAGGUUUCACUUCCCAAAAACACAAAUAAGGUAUUAGCCAUGUUGUAGAAAAUUUAGAAGGGCAAGGAGUAUAGAAGAGAGAAAAAAAAGACUUGAAAAAGGAACAAGAAGAUUGAGCAAUUUGGGGCAGGCUUAUAGUCCAAUGCCGUUACCAUUGCUAUUUUGUCUUUAGUAUGAAGUGAUCCUUUUGGAACCUACGACUAUUGACCAAGGUGAUACGAAGGAAGAAAAAAAAAAAAAAAAAAGAGAAAAAAAAUGGGGAAAAAAAGAGAAAAAGUUGGAGCUUGCUCGCUAUAAUUUGGGGCAAGCGUAUUCCCUAUGUCGUUACCAUCGCAGUUUUAUGCCUUAGUGGGAAGUGAGCCUUUUGGAUCUUCCUAUUUUGCAAAGUGUGAUAGAAUAAAAAAAGGGGUGUAAAAAUAAAGAAAUAAAAAGAAUGAAAAUAAAAGUGCACCAGUAUUAGAAGACCUUAAGUGUUUCCGGGAAAGUUUUUUAAUCCUCACAUCUAGAGAAUACAGAAAUCGUAACCUCAAUUUCAUUUUCAUUGACGAAGGGGAUGGGGUAAGGUCCCAUGGUGUGGGUUUUCGAUUCCGACUACGAAGUGAGGCAGUGAUGCAGAGUGCGAGUGUGUGAUGGAGAUCAUCCUCAGCUCUGAUACCAGUGAAGUUGGAGGGCAUUAGACAGCCGUUUGGCAACGAAUCUCUAGCAGGAGGAUUUUUCAACCAGAUGGGAUGCCUUUGCUUUUGAGAGAUGAAAAGCGAAAAUGCUUGACUUCUCUAUUGCAUAUGGGAAAACUCCUGUUCGGUUGGCCCGUGAUUGGAAGUGGUGCUACCAAAGAGCAUGAAGGCAACCGGGGAUGAAAUAAUUAACGAAGGAUGCCUUUGCUUUUGAGAGAUGAAAAGAGAAAAUGCUCAACUUCUCUAUUGCAUAUGGGAAAACUCCUAUUGGGCCAGCCCAUGAUUGGAAGGUAUACACACUGUUAUAAAUUCUU